CUCAAAUUGUUCUCUUUUUCCUCCCUCUCCUCCUGCUCCUGGUUCUGCUCUUCCCUUUCCACACACUCAUUUACUCUCUCACCCCUCCUACUCCCUCUGCGCUUGCUUUUCUUGUUCCACUUCCUCUCUUUCUCUACCACUCCUCAGCUCCUUUCCUUCCAUUUCUCCCCUUUUCUCCCUCCCCUGCCACUCAUUUCCCUAGCUUUCUCUUUUGUGGACUUUCCCCUUUCUUUGUUUUCACUUUCUCUUUCAAUCCUUUCCAAAACAGAGUGGUUGUCUAACUGUCAUAGAGCAGCUUGCCCACAAUUGGUCAAACAACUGUUCCUCUGAAAUGGGGGAAACUGUUGAAGAUUUCGUGACUAGGACUCGCAUUGCCCUGAAGAAUUAUUGUCCAGUCUUCCAGGGAAAUCAGGCAAACAACAUGCAAGCACCAAAAAAGAAUAUGGAAGAAAGAAUUAAAAAAAUGACAUGCUCUGAAAUAGCUAGAAAUUUAUUAGAAAUUUGGAGAGAAUACUGGAGAGAAACAGAAAAGUCAGCUAGAAGAGGGAGGAAAAGGAAGAGAAGACAAAGUCUGAAUAAGUGAUAUAAAACUACUGAAAAGAACUUGCAAGGAGAAAAAAUGUAGCCACAUUUUUUGCUCAGAUUUUUAAAAUUCUUGGAACAAUAAGAAUGAUGAGGUCAUAUAUGCAUAUCAAUCCUGAAAA
rnacentral:lncRNA from 1 species